rnacentral:rRNA from 1 species
AACAAACGCUGGCGGCGUGCCUAACACAUGCAAGUCGUACGAGAAAGGGUCCUUCGGGGCCUGAGUAAAGUGGCGCACGGGUGAGUAACGCGUGGAUCAUCUGCCCUUCAGUUGGGAAUAACUCAUCGAAAGGUGGGCUAAUACCGAAUAAUGCGGUGAGACCUCGGUUGAUCAGCCAAAGAGAGCCUCUGCUUGCAAGCCCUCGCUGAAGGAUGAGUCCGCGUACCAUUAGCUAGUUGGUAGGGUAAUGGCCUACCAAGGCGACGAUGGUUAGCUGGUCUGAGAGGAUGAUCAGCCACACUGGAACUGAGACACGGUCCAGCCUCCUACGGGAGGCAGCAGUGAGGAAUCUUGCGCAAUGGGGGCAACCCUGACGCAGCAACGCCGCGUGAGUGAGGAAGCUCUUCGGAUCGUAAAGCUCUGUCGGAUGGAAAGAACCGCAUAGGGGUAAACAGCCCCUGUGUCUGACGGUACCAUCAAAGGAAGCACCGGCUAACUCCGUGCCAGCCGCCGCCGUAAAAC